rnacentral:misc_RNA from 1 species
AAUUUUCUUUGAGCCGGUGCAAGGUGAGGGCGGCUACGUCGUACCGCCGCAAAAGUUCGUCGACGAAUUGCAGGAGCUAGCGCGGCGACACCGCAUUCUACUGGUGUUCGAUGAGGUGCAGUCGGGGAUGGGUCGGACCGGGAAGAUGUUCGCAGCGGAACACUUUGAAGCAGCCCCGGACAUUAUCGCGGUAGCGAAAGGCAUCGCCAGCGGCAUGCCUCUUUCUGCCACCAUUGCACGUGCUGAUGUAAUGCAGUGGCGUCCAGGAGCACAUGCGUCCACAUUCGGAGGCAACCCGGUAUGCAUCGCGGCUGCGCUGGCGACUAUAGAAUUGCUCGAGCAGGAACUGAUCGACAACGCCGCGCACAUGGGGCG